CUGGCAGAGCACAAGUGAACCUGCUGCUGACCUCCGGACAAAGAGAAAGGUCUUUGAGAAGGUGAUGGCUGUGAGGCGCCUGAGAGAGGAGGAGAUGAUCCUUUGCAGGGAGAUGCAGCAUCACUGGACAGUGUUGCAAAUGCGAUCUGUGGUGUUGGGGACAAUCUCCUCAGACUCCUCCCUUGUUGGCAUGUCGGAGGAUGCACAGAAAGGACUCCAUAGCCUGGUU